rnacentral:rRNA from 1 species
UUCCGGUUGAUCCUGCCAGAGGUUACUGCUAUCGGUGUUCGCCUAAGCCAUGCGAGUCAUAUGUAGCAAUACAUGGCGUACUGCUCAGUAACACGUGGAUAACCUGCCCUUGGGACCGGCAUAACCCCGGGAAACUGGGGAUAAUUCCGGAUAACGCAUAUUUGCUGGAAUGCUUUAUGCGUCAAAAGGAUUCGUCUGCCCAAGGAUGGGUCUGCGGCCUAUCAGGUAGUAGUGGGUGUAAUGUACCUACUAGCCAGCGACGGGUACGGGUUGUGAGAGCAAGAGCCCGGAGAUGGAUUCUGAGACAUGAAUCCAGGCCCUACGGGGCGCAGCAGGCGCGAAAACUUUACAAUGCGGGAAACCGUGAUAAGGGGACACCGAGUGCCAGCAUCAUAUGCUGGCUGUCCGGAUGUGUAAAAUACAUCCGUUAGCAAGGGCCGGGCAAGACCGGUGCCAGCCGCCGCGGUAACACCGGCGGCCCGAGUGGUGAUCGUGAUUAUUGGGUCUAAAGGGUCCGUAGCCGGUUUGGUCAGUCCUCCGGGAAAUCUGAUAGCUCAACUAUUAGGCUUUCGGGGGAUACUGCCAGACUUGGAACCGGGAGAGGUAAGAGGUACUACAGGGGUAGGAGUGAAAUCUUGUAAUCCCUGUGGGACCACCUGUGGCGAAGGCGUCUUACCAGAACGGGUUCGACGGUGAGGGACGAAAGCUGGGGGCACGAACCGGAUUAGAUACCCGGGUAGUCCCAGCCGUAAACGAUGCUCGCUAGGUGUCAGGCAUGGCGCGACCGUGUCUGGUGCCGCAGGGAAGCCGUGAAGCGAGCCACCUGGGAAGUACGGCCGCAAGGCUGAAACUUAAAGGAAUUGGCGGGGGAGCACAACAACGGGUGGAGCCUGCGGUUUAAUUGGAGUCAACGCCGGG